rnacentral:rRNA from 1 species
GUGAGGAAUAUUGGGCAAUGGGCGAAAGCCUGACCCAGCCACGCCGCGUGAGUGAUGAAGGCCUUCGGGUUGUAAAGCUCUGUGGGGAGGGAAGAAAAAGCGGGAGAGUAACUGCUCUCGUGUUGACGGUACCUCCUUAGCAAGCACCGGCUAACUCUGUGCCAGCAGCCGCGGUAAUACAGAGGGUGCAAACGUUGCUCGGAAUUACUGGGCGUAAAGCGCGUGUAGGCUGACAUGCAAGUCGGGUGUGAAAUCCCAGGGCUCAACCUUGGAAAUGCACUCGAAACUACACGUCUUGAGUACUGGAGAGGGAAGCGGAAUUCCGGGUGUAGAGGUGAAAUUCGUAGAUAUCCGGAGGAACACCAGUGGCGAAGGCGGCUUCCUGGACAGUAACUGACGCUGAGACGCGAAAGCGUGGGGAGCAAACAGGAUUAGAAACCCCGGUAGUCC